rnacentral:tRNA from 1 species
GGGGAUGUAGCUCAGUGUUAGAGUGUUUGCCUAGCAUGUAUGAGGCCCUGGGUCAUCCCCA